AAGACCUCCCCCCGCUCCUCGUUCAUAGCUAGGAAGCACUGAAGUAUGCUCCCCUACUUCCCUCAAUAUGAGGUUUAAGCCUUUCACUGCUUAACUCCAAAAGGCUCUGAGCUAUGGGUGCUCAAAGGGGCCAGUUACUACUGCUGGGACAAUGGGACAUCACCACUCCUGGGUCCUCGCCCAGCACUGGGGCAAGAAAACGAACACCCCAGCAGUCAUUUUGAGGGCAGUAAUCACAGAGAUGGGACCGGAGCAACACAGGGAUCCCAGGCCUGUGGGAUGCCCAGGCUGAUGGGAAACCUGUAGUAAAUCCUACAGCCUGCUUGUCCGUGGCCUAAAGCAGGGAAGGCUCUGAACAGCUCCCGCUGCAUGUCGCUGCUGCUGGGCCAGCCCUGCACAGGCUCUUUACCCAGACUUCAAGCACUAAUAUUUACCAGUACUUAAAGAGGGGCUCCGGUACUUGACGGCCUAAAGGAAAGCUGGCGAGGGCUCUAUAUCAGGGAGUGUGCCGAUAGGAGAAGGUUAACAGCUUUCAACAAAAAGAGGGUGAAUUUAGAUUAGAUAUUGAGAAGAUAUUCUUCACUCAGAGGGCGAUGAGGUCCUGGCACUGCCCACAGCUGUGGUGCCCCAUCCCUGGAGGUACCCAAGGCCAUGGAUGGGCCCUGGGCAGCCCAAGCUGGGGGGCAGCCAGCACAUGGCAGGGGGGCCAUAGGGUCCACUCCAACCCAGUUCCCAAAUAUAAGCAUCUUUUACUCUGUACCCACUCAAAAUGAGGCCCUGAAUGCAGCUCCCUCAUCUGCUGUUCAGCACUUUGGAGAAACCACACUCCCAUCUACCAGGAGAUUAACCAAGAAAGGAAAAUACGUAGAAGGGAUGAAACAACUUGUCUGAGAGUACACAGGAAAUCUGUGGCAAAGACAGAACGUGUUUUAAAAUAGUGCAAUGACAUCAAUCUCUGGUUUCUCAAUAGAAACCUCCAAAUAGGCAGUUCUCCACCCCAAAGAUACAUACACGUGCUGAAUGGGGUUAAAAUUCAAGUCAGCAUUUAGAAAGUAACAAGAAGCUGUGUGUAAAAUAAGGGGGGGGGAGGGGGGAACACACACACACAAACCAACAUAUGGUUUGCAUUUACUGACUCAUUAUUGUGAGUGUCAGUGUGACCCACUUGAUAGAGGUUACAUGAGGAAGCUCAGGAAAAAAAGUCAUAUUUAAUAAUAAUAGUGCCUGCAAACAUGUGCUCCUGAAUGAUCUUGAAAGCCACAUCAAGGACGCAGAUGAGGAGAAACGAGGGACAAGUUUCUGACCUCUGGUCUCCUGCCCUCCCAUUCGGUAGUGCUCGACACGUUCAGGAAACUUAACUUUCAGUGGGACAUCUCAAGUUGACUGUAAAUCCACAUCUGGUCCACAAAAUCAGCUUUCACCACAGCACGAGCGUGAUGCCACUCAACUGAAAACACAGGAGUCUGUUCUCUUGCAAGCAGUGAAUAAGUAAAACUAAACAGUGUGAAGUUUAUUCCACUGCACGGAGACAAGAAAAAAACCAACACAACAGCCCUCAUGCAUCACUUAUUCCUUCUCAGGACAUCAAAACAAGCUAUGUGGGACCUGUAGGCCUUAUAAUGGUAACUUCCACUCCUAAACCUGUGUUUAAACAGAGGGGAGGUGCAUGGGGCAAAACUCUGAACUCAUGCACUGAAACUGCUGCUGUAAGUGAUCCUACCAGCACUGAGGCACUGAAUUUCUGCCAGAGGAAAAAAAAAGCCUCAGCAUUCAUUUUGUUCAAACAAUCAUGCUGCUCAAACAAAAUAAAACAGAACAGGGUGGACUUGGAAAUUAUCUUCUGAAAGCCAAUUAUAUCCCAGAGGCAAGAGUGAUGCCAUUAGACAGACACAUCAAGCACAAGUACCUGUACACAUUAAGCCCUAUAAUAAAGGGUGACUCAAAAGUUAAGCAGAUUUCAAAAUAGACGCCAGUGUUACUUAACAGCAACCACCAUCAUCCAGUCAGACCUGUCACUUUGCUUGCAGUCAAAAUGACAUGUCACCGUGUCAAGCUUGUUUAAUGCCAUGCUCAGCUCUCUCUGGCCAGCCAUACCGUGACAUAAAGGUCCAUACCAUGACAUAAAGGUCCAUACCAUGACAUAAAGGAGGUCUAUUUUUUCUAUUUUUUUCCCCCAGGUUCAUUAUGUUUUUGUUGCUUUUAAAUUCACAGCAGGCAGAUAUGGCCGCAGACUCACGUUACAGUGACGGAUGAGCCAUCCAUCAUCUUCAGAUCUCUGUAGUUUAUUGGGACUUGCAUCUACAACAAGCACUGCUUCCUCAUACCAAUCCAUGAGAACAUCUUGAAUCACUGCAUUGGUCUCCUCACUCCCUUUCUGGUUUCAGCCCUGCCCCAUGUCUGCCUUGAAAGAUCUCCGCUGUAUUGGUGCAGUAAGCAGUUAUGCUGCAGUAUGCAACAGGUGCUAUUCAGAAGUAAAAAGGGAUGACAGGAAUGGCACCACCUACUUCUAUUUCAGAUGCUCUGAAGGGUACUCAGAGUACCCACGUCUUCUCAGCGCCCUUCAGUGAAUGCAGAGAACUUCAGAUCUUAAUUUGGGGGAUAAUCAGAUAAUUAAGGAUGACAACAUCAAGACUUGCCUGGUGCAGAUGGCAAGACCAACGGGUGUAAUCUGCCAUAUCACAGCUGAAUUCUCACUCUUCCAGGCUGUAUCAAUAAGGCCAGAGCAGCAUAUUCCCAGCACAUCAGUGGGGUGGUUUUGCCCAAAGCACUGUGAAGUCACUGCAGUAAGAAAACCUGAAGCUACAGCAAGAGUAAUAACCAGGCACACAGCACAGCAACUUUUCUGCUUGCUCUCUGGACAGUGCUCUCCUGGAAGCUCUGUACUAAGCUAUUUAUUAGGAUGCUGCUGUGGCCUACUGAGUGCACUUAAAGUGCAGGUGUCACACUGUGCAUUGCAUCACAUUCCCCUGGAAGCAUGAGGGAUAUGCAUAGGAAUCCCAGCACAGCUCCUCACAGUACUCAGGGUUAUGGGUUGGUCGCUUCACAAACUAGUGGGGAAAAAAAUCGUAUCCAAUAGAUUCUAUUUUCAUCAUCUUUAAUAUAGAUGUAUAUAAAGGUGAGAAAACACCUUCAGGUUUACUGUAGAAGAUCACUGGGCUCUCAAUCUGCCUACACAAACCAACCUAGAACUUCUCAGCAAGACGACUCAAUUUUGGUAUCCAACUUCAUAGGCUUUUCAAAGUUAUGGCCAAAAUAUAACACAAACCACCCCACAACUUCAAAACAUUAUAUUCCACAAUAAAAAGUCCUUCCUGACCCAUGUAGCUAUUAAGUAUCCACACUGAAAUACUUAAUUAGAGGGUACUUAUUGGGACAUCAAAGUACCUUCUUUCCUUCCUAACUGCUGGUCCUUUAGGACAAAUCAGGUGCCAGUUAACACCUCAGGACCAGCAGCAUUUCUGGUGACACCUGCUUGCUACCAGUGAGGCCGGAGCUCCAUCCCCUCCUGAGUCCCAUCCCCACGGGCUGUGUGGGGACCGCUGCCCACCCAUGAGAUGCAUGCAGCUGCAAUGCUUAUGGAUGAAAACAGAAAUUCAGAUCUCAGCAGAGCACCGAGCCAACAUUUCUGACUCCCCAAGCAAUUCUCUUCAAGCUGACGGAAAGCCGGAUCUAGCAGCCUGUUAGCAGAGAAGCUUUUUAAAACCGUGAACAGCCCCAACCGCACACGCUGAACUUAUUACGAGCAAUUAAAGGAGAGAUAAUUCGGGAGAUAAAC